rnacentral:rRNA from 1 species
ACACACGUGUUACAAUGGGGGGUACGAGAGGGCCGCUACCACGCGAGUGGAUGCCAAUCCCCAAAACCUCUCUCAGUUCGGACUGGAGUCUGCAACCCGACUCCACGAAGCUGGAUUCGCUAGUAAUCGCGCAUCAGCCACGGCGCGGUGAAUACGUUCCCGGGCCUUGUACACACCGCCCGUCAAGCCAUGGGAGCCGGGGGCGCCUGAAGUCCGGGACCGCGAGGACCGGCCUAGGGCGAAACUGGUAACUGGGGCUAAGUCGUAACAAGGUACC